rnacentral:lncRNA from 1 species
GGCCUAAUUACAGCUUGUAACAAGCUUUUGGGACACUGGGCUGGUUUUCCUUUACAUAUGGAAAGGCCAUAGUUAUUUCCAGAAAUUAGUCAGACAUGUGAUGUUUUACAUUAAUUUCUUUUGGAAAUGUCAUGGCAUGUGACUUCAAACUUCACAUUACCCUCAUCCUAAAGUUUUCUAUUUUAUCAUGUUUUGAGCCAAGCGCUCUCCAGAUAUGAAAAUAAAUGCGUAAUCUCAGAUGCCAGUUUCCUCCUUGGAUCUGCGUUUGCAAAACUCUCUGCUUUCCUUCCUAGAUAUUUAAAGCUGGCUUUGCGUUUACUGAUUCAUCUCUGGUGGCUUCCUUUCCCAAUCAGAAAAUCAAAUACUGAUUGCAGAGAAAAUGAACAACUGGAGCAUUAAAGAGGUUGUUGUAUGACCCAAAAAAACCUCAAAGCCCUCUUACUUGUACUUUUCUUUUGCAAAUCUUUAUGUUACCCUUUGUCCCCUUAGUCCUAUCAUUUUUCAUAUAUUAAAAAGA